rnacentral:piRNA from 1 species
AAGUUGAGUCUUGAACGUACCUAGGU